rnacentral:tRNA from 1 species
AGCUCAGUUGGUAGAGCGCCUGCUUUGCAAGCAGGAUGUCAGCGGUUCGAGUCCGCUAACCUCCA